AGCAAAUAGAUACCCGGGUAGUCCACGCCCUAAACGAUGUCUACUAGUUGUUGGUGGAGUAAAAUCCAUGAGUAACGCAGCUAAACGCGUGAAGUAGACCGCCUGGGGAGUACGGUCGCAAGAUUAAAACUCAAGGAAUUGACGGGGGCCCGCACAAGCGGUGGAUUAUGUGGAUUAAAUUCGAUGCAACGCGAACAACCUUACCUGGCCUUGACAUGCCACUAACGAAGCAGAGAUGCAUUAGGUGCCCGUAAGGGAAAGUGGACACAGGUGCUGCAUGGCUGUCGUCAGCUCGUGUCGUGAGAUGUUGGGUUAAGUCCCGCAACGAGCGCAACCCUUGCCAUUAAUUGCCAUCAUUUAGUUGGGCACUUUAAUGGGACUGCCGGUGACAAACCGGAGGAAGGUGGGGAUGACGUCAAGUCCUCAUGGCCCUUAUGGCCAGGGCUUCACACGUAAUACAAUGGUCGGUACAGAGAGUUGCCAACCCG
rnacentral:rRNA from 1 species